rnacentral:lncRNA from 1 species
CGAACCACCACCCUCCUGACUCAGAGCAGCAAGGGGAAGUGCAGUAGGAAGCUGAGUAUACAGCAAGAUAAUAUCUAACAACGGUUUUCAGAAUUCAGUAGCUGAUAAUAAUUGCUCGCUUAAGUGUCCUAAGGCUUUAAUUUGAGCACGAGUAAACCAAAGCCACAGUGAACUACUACCCGUUUGUAUAUAACUUCUGGUGGAUUAUGUUUACAGCAGGUAACCCAUAGAACCUCAUUUAUGUCAGGCCUUCUUCUGCUGUCUAAGGAUGUGGAGAACAUAUAUUUCUGACCUCAUGGAGAAAAUGAUCUACCAGGAAAGAAGAGCUACCUUAGGCUUCUCAAGAAGAUUCUGGAAGAAGGGUUAGUAAGGCAUCUUCUGUUGGGUCUUGACGUCACCAGUUAGUUCCCAGCAGCCAGAACCUGAAAGCAACCCAGAUGCCCCUCAACUGAAGAAUGAACAGAGAAAAUGUAGUACAUUUAUGCAGUGGAGUACUACUUAUCGGAAAAAAAAAAACAAAAAACAAUGGAAUCUUGAAAUUCGAAGGCACAUGGAUGGAACUAGAAGAAACCAUCCUCAGUGAGAGCCUUCAUCCAGUAGCUGAUGGAAGCAGAAGCAGACACCCACAGCUGAACACUGAGCUGAAUUCCUGGAAUCCAGUUGCAGAAAGAGAGGAGUGAUGAGCAAAAGGGGUCAAGACCAGGCUGGAGAAACCCACAGAAACAGCUGACCUGAACAAGGGGGAGCUCAUGGACCCCAGACUGAUAUCUGGGAAACCAGUAUAGGACUGAUCCAGACCACCUGAAUGUGGGUGUCAGUUAGGAGAUCUGGGGCCUCUGGUAGUGGAUCAGUAUUUAUCCCUAGUACACGAAUGGACUUUGGGAGCCCAUUCCACAUAGAGGCCUAGACACAUGGGGGAGGGCCUAGGCCCUGCUCCAAAUGAUAUGACAGACUUUUAAGAUCCCCCAGGAAAGGCUUCAACCUCCCUAGGGAGCAGGAAGGGGAAGGGAUGGUGUGGGACAGGA